GCCCUGCUGUGGAGUCUCACAAUAAGACGAAACGGCCGUCCAGUGU
rfam:Schistosoma rodhaini strain Burundi genome assembly, scaffold: SROB_contig0003857